AUAGAAUCCUCAUCCUUAUAUCGCCCUGGAGACCCAGGUACACUCUGCAAGGAGCUCUUCCUUCUGAAACCAGAGCAUAAGCCAAUGCCCUCUCCUGGGGAGCCUGCUUUGCCAUAGUCCACUGUGGCAGUUCUUUCUCCAGUGGGACCACAUCGGGAGGACCAGCCCGGAAAAGGAUAUCAUGCCACAUGUUUCAAAGACCAAAGCGAGGAGCCAGCCUUCGUCUGGAUUUUAUGAGAAAGAGCUUUGUUCUCUCUAGGAGCUCAUUCACAAGCAGAAGUGACUAUGUAGCAAUCUGCGGGCUGACUUUGAACGGCCGAUCAGAAGAGAUCAAUCCAACCAUCACUAAGAGAGCAACUUUUUCUUUCUGGACUCAAGGGGACAAAGUGGAAUAACACAUGUGUUUUAUCCUAAUGGCAAUGUGGUGAAAGGAACGAUGAUAAUGCUAAUGAAUCAUACUAGUAAGGGGAGAACGCAACACAGAAAACCACGAUACAGAGCAACGUGUCAUAUGUGUGUUGUUUCCAAAAGGCCAUGGGACUACACCAGGUUGAGCAUCUGAGCCAGCUUCCUGGAGGAGUGAGCAUUUGAGCUGAGGAUGGUUUUAACAACAACAGAUUUGGGGAAAGUCAUUGCUAUAUGAACAGACUGUAUGCACGUUUUUCCACCUCUGAGGUUGCCUUCAGGACGUCAGUGAAAUCCACGAGCACGGCUUUUCAUCAGUUGAAGUGAGUUUAUAAAUGGACCUUGCACAAGCUGGCUCUCAGCACGUGUGGCUGUGAGGAAUGGGACACUGCUGAUGGUGAGACUCCUUGCCUGUUGACUCCUGUCACUAUGGAAGAGAAAGAUCGUGGGCACCAGAGUCAGACAGACCUGAA